GGAGGGAUCGCAUAGUUGGUCUAGUGCGGCCGCCUGCUAAGCGGUUAAGGGGGCCUAAACCUCCUUCACGGGUUCGAAUCCCGUUCCCUCCG
rnacentral:tRNA from 1 species